rnacentral:rRNA from 1 species
CAGCAGCCGCGGUAAUACGAAGGGUGCAAGCGUUACUCGGAAUUACUGGGCGUAAAGCGUGCGUAGGCGGAUUGUUAAGCAAGACGUGAAAGCCCCGGGCUUAACCUGGUAAUGGCGUUUUGAACUGGCAGUCUAGAGUGCGUCAGAGGGGGGUGGAAUUCCACGUGUAGCAGUGAAAUGCGUAGAGAUGUGGAGGAACACCGAUGGCGAAGGCAGCCCCCUGGGAUGACACUGACGCUCAUGUACGAAAGCGUGGGUAGCA